rnacentral:rRNA from 1 species
CCUACGGGUGGCAGCAGUGGGGAAUAUUGGACAAUGGGCGAAAGCCUGAUCCAGCCAUGCCGCGUGUGUGAAGAAGGCCUUCGGGUUGUAAAGCACUUUCAGUGGGGAAGAAAGCCUUGGGGCUAAUACCCUCGAGGAAGGACAUCACCCACAGAAGAAGCACCGGCUAACUCCGUGCCAGCAGCCGCGGUAAUACGGAGGGUGCGAGCGUUAAUCGGAAUUACUGGGCGUAAAGCGCGCGUAGGCGGUCUGAUAAGCCGGUUGUGAAAGCCCCGGGCUCAACCUGGGAACGGCAUCCGGAACUGUCAGGCUAGAGUGCAGGAGAGGGAGGUAGAAUUCCAGGUGUAGCGGUGAAAUGCGUAGAGAUCGGGAGGAAUACCAGUGGCGAAGGCGGCCUUCUGGACUGACACUGACGCUGAGGUGCGAAAGCGUGGGUAGCAAACAGGAUUAGAUACCCUGGUAGUC